GCGGGAGAGCGAGAAAGCGGAGCCAAUACCGAAGGGUGACAGAACAUCAUUUACAGACGGAUUUUCUAUCAUUAAAGUUAUGUGUAACCCACCAUUGGUAGGUCUGAGCUCACAAGGCACCAUUUGUUGUAGAAAAGGAACCACUACGAAUUUCACAUAAGCAGCAGCAGUUGCACUUCAAGGGCCCUGUCAAGUGUACUGAAUGUCUCCGUUGUCCUGGAAGAGGAGGUGGUGCUUGACAACUUAGGAGACUUUGUAAAUGCAUUUAUUGUACUUUUUUGGAUUUUAUUGUAUACACUCAUCCUGGAGUACAACAAGGACUUAAAGUGAUAGUUUACCCAAAAAUGAAAAUUCUGUCAUUCAUUACUUACCACGUCGUCAUCUUCAGAAAACAAAUUAAGAUAUUUUUGAUUAAAUUUGUUUGAUUAAAUUUUUGAUGAAACAACGGUCUUAUUGAUGUGGAACGACAUGAGGGUAAUUAAUGACAGAAUAUUAACCUCAAAGUUCCUCUUAUGAGUUUUUUUGGCAAUCAUUUGAAGUAUAAGAUGCAGUUUUAUGAGCUCAAAGUACCGCUUGUGAGAAUGGUAGAGUUCAUGUGAACUACUCUAAACACUGGGUGAAGUAACCUCCCCAUUACUUAAAUUUGAUGGUGUUUUUGACAUUUUUAAUAUGUUAAUGUGUUUGAUGUUUA